rnacentral:misc_RNA from 1 species
GGAAGUGAAAGUCGUAACAAGGUUUCCGUAGGUGAACCUGCGGAAGGAUCAUUAACGAGUUAGGGUCUUCUAGGCCCGACCUCCCAACCCUAUGUUUAUUGAACCUCUGUUGCUUCGGCGGACCCGCCUCACGGCCGCCGGAGGACCGCUGCAAGGCGUCCUCUGGCCAGCGUCCGCCGAUGGCCAACCACUUAAACUCUGAAUGAAUCGUGUCAUAUGUCUAAGUCUAUGAUUAAAUUAAAGCAAAACUUUCAACAACGGAUCUCUUGGUUCUG